rnacentral:rRNA from 1 species
AGUCGAGCGAACGGACGAGAAGCUUGCUUCUCUGAUGUUAGCGGCGGACGGGUGAGUAACACGUGGAUAACCUACCUAUAAGACUGGGAUAACUUCGGGAAACCGGAGCUAAUACCGGAUAAUAUUUUGAACCGCAUGGUUCAAAAGUGAAAGACGGUCUUGCUGUCACUUAUAGAUGGAUCCGCGCUGCAUUAGCUAGUUGGUAAGGUAACGGCUUACCAAGGCAACGAUGCAUAGCCGACCUGAGAGGGUGAUCGGCCACACUGGAACUGAGACACGGUCCAGACUCCUACGGGAGGCAGCAGUAGGGAAUCUUCCGCAAUGGGCGAAAGCCUGACGGAGCAACGCCGCGUGAGUGAUGAAGGUCUUCGGAUCGUAAAACUCUGUUAUUAGGGAAGAACAUAUGUGUAAGUAACUGUGCACAUCUUGACGGUACCUAAUCAGAAAGCCACGGCUAACUACGUGCCAGCAGCCGCGGUAAUACGUAGGUGGCAAGCGUUAUCCGGAAUUAUUGGGCGUAAAGCGCGCGUAGGCGGUUUUUUAAGUCUGAUGUGAAAGCCCACGGCUCAACCGUGGAGGGUCAUUGGAAACUGGAAAACUUGAGUGCAGAAGAGGAAAGUGGAAUUCCAUGUGUAGCGGUGAAAUGCGCAGAGAUAUGGAGGUACACCAGUGGCGAAGGCGACUUUCUGGUCUGU